rnacentral:misc_RNA from 1 species
UCAGUACGUUCCAAAUUUUGCAUAGUAUGUGGUGUAAUUUAUUUUUUAUGCAGGCAAAUGCACGAGAAAUUAUCUGUGAUUUUCCGCAGUAGGCUGCGCGAUAAAUGAAAGAUCAUUCGUGGAAUGUAUAGACAAAUAAAUAUUAUUGAAAAAGAUUUAAUCUUUCGUGGCAGUGCUGACAAACAUGAAUCUGCAAACACUUUUUCAAGAUUUCAAUCCAAGCAAAUUUUUGGUCUAUUCAUGUUUGAUGAUAUUUACUGCUUUGUUCGCUCUUCGAUUGGAUGGUUUCAUAGAAUGGAGCUACUGGACAAUAUUUAGCCCGAUUUGGUUUUGGAAGGGUAUGGUAAUAUUGGGUGCUACCAUUGGAAGUUAUGUUUGGUGGAGACAUCCACAUUCAAGAUUGGAAGGAGAUGCCUAUGUUCAUUACAAAGCAAUGUUGAUUACUUUGGCAUUACAUUUGAUCUUGUUAAUGUUCGAAUUGUUAGUAUGCGACAAACUGGAAUCUGAUAGGCAUUUAUGGAUAUUAGUCUUUAUACCGCUGAUUUUCAUCUCAGUUGUAUCUAUAGCUGUUUGCAUUUGGGCUGUGAAACACGAUAGGUCUUUUGAAUUAGAAUUAUUUUGCGCUGUCAAUGUAUUGCAAUUUAUUUUCUUGGCACUAAGACUAGAUGGCUUUAUUACUUGGAGUUGGGAGGUGGUGUUUGUACCUCUUUGGGCACUCCUUUGUUUGUCUCUAGUUGCUGUUCUAUAUGCAAUAGUGUUUGCUGCUGUUCUAUUAAGAACACCUCAGAUUAAUGCAAGACAAAGGCGGACAUCUUUACACUCAGCACUAGCAUAUACAUUUCUUGUUGUUCCAAUUUUAAUAUUUCAAGUACUAUUAGCUAAUAAAUUGGACGGUGAUAUUUCUUUAAAUUAUACAACAGUAGCGAUGCCUUUACUCAUAUCUCACAUAACACUUAUUUUCAUGUCUUUUGGAGCGAAAGGAGGAAAUAGAUGGUGGUUUGGUAUUCGGAAGGACUUUUGCCAUUUUCUGUUAAGCCUAUGUCCAUUGCUUCAAGAGUAUGGUAACAUUUCUUAUCAACCAAGAGGCGAACAAGAUCAACCGCCAUCCGAACCAAUGGUUAGUGAAAAGAAUGAGAAGCACAUAAAGAAAAUUGACCUAACUAAACCUGUAGUGCCUAUAAUUUCUAUAGAUAUGCCCGAUUGAUCGAAUUGGCCUAGAAUUUAUCUUGAAUAUUAAUACAUUCUUUUCAAUGUUACCUGUGAGUUGCCAUGUACGUAACAUGAAACUGAAAGAGAGAAAGAAAGAGAAAGAAAAAGAAAGAGAGAGAGAGAGAGAGAGUGAGAAAGAGUUUAACAUGCGCCAGGGCAAUCGUGAUGAUCAUGUUAUGCAUCUUGUUAUUGGAAAUUAAAUUUUAAAGAUGCUCACAAGAGCAUUAUUUGUUUUUUUAUAUAAAAUACAAAUGAAAAAAGGUAAUUAUGUUAUCCCUGUUUGACUUAAAGGUUGAAACAAACUUAUGUUUGCAUAUAAAUCGAAGUAAUUGGCUCCAAAAAUGUAUGUUAUAGUGUAAUUGUUAUGGUGCUCAAUAUGAUAACGAGUUUAGAUCUACUUUAUCUUCCACAUAUCUAAUCACUUAAUUUGUCCUUAGCAUAAGUAAUUGACCCGUCCAUUUGUUUCAGUAAUUCUUUUUUGAAAUGUAAAUUUU